rnacentral:rRNA from 1 species
GUGCUCCCCCGCCAAUUCCUUUAAGUUCAAUCUUGCGAUCGUACUCCCCAGGCGGCAGACUUAACAGCUUCCCUGCGGCACUAGAACGGCACGUGGCCGUUCAAACACCUAGUCUGCAUCGUUUACAGCUGGGACUACCCGGGUAUCUAAUCCGGUUCGCUCCCCCAGCUUUCAUCCCUCACCGUCGGGCGCGUUAUAGCAGACAGCCUUCGCCACUGGUGGUCUUCCCGGGAUUAUAGGAUUUCACCCCUACCCCGGAAAUACCGUCUGCCUCUCUCGUCCCCUAGUCAAGCAGUAUCCCCCGCAAUCCAACGAUUAAUUCGGUGGAUUUAACAGGGGACUAACUUAGCCAGCUACGGAUGCUUUAGGCCCAAUAAACAUCCACACCACUCGGAGAGCUGGUAUUACCGCGGCGGCUGACACCAGACUUGCCCUCUCCUUAUUCCCCCAGCGUUCUAGACUGGGUAAAAGCCUUCCUCAGCGGAUGGCACUCGGGAUAGCCCUGUCAAGCUUUCGCUUAUUGCAAAGUUUUCGCGCCUGCUGCACCCCGU